rnacentral:lncRNA from 1 species
CAGAGACAUAUAAUACAAGAGAUUGGCAACUCUAGUAGAGUCUAUAUAACGGCCAAUGAAAUCACUUGGCCACCGGAAGUGCUUGGGAUUAUGAUGUGACCUGGGAUGAAGGAGGAUCGAGAUGAGAAAAUUCCGCCAUUGUUGUUAAAAGAGACGAUACGCUUACAGAUUUGUUUUCUCGUUUAUGUCGAUUGCUUUCACAGCUAAAGCAUGUAAGUAUAUUCAAAAGAUACAUUUAACUAGUUCUACCAAUUUGUUUAUACUAUAAUGUGCUGAGAUGAUGAUAAUAAUCAAAUGCAGACCAAUUUAAAUUCGGUCCAUUCAGCUUCCCCUCUUUAUUGCUGUAGAACCGGUGUGGCCCACCAUUUUUUUUCCAUAAAACUUUAAAAUUUACGAUUUUAUAUACAAUUUUAAAGUGUUAUUCUACUCCCGAUUGUUAUCCCGUUAAAAUGAUACUAUUUUCGUAUAUUUUGAUCAAAUAGUGUUUUCAUAAAAUACCAUCAAAGGUGAUUUAUUUUUUUCACAUUGAUACCCAAAUCCAGCUAUGCGAGAAUUACCUUUUUUUUCAUAAAACUUAGAAAUUAUCGAAUAAAUAUGCAAUUUAAUGAGCCUGUAUAAAUUCCAAAUGUUAUCUUGUUAAAAUAAGAUCAGCGGGGCAUAUAUGUGUAUACCAUGGACAUGUACACAUUCCCAAUAUAUUCUUCUUUUCUUUAUAAAUUUUGCCCAUUAUUCUCUAUUCUUUAUUUAUUUUAGCACCCCAUCAUUCUCCAAUCUUGAUAUUUUGAUAAAAUGUUUCCUCUUGUCUUUACUUUUCUGAUUUCAAUUUAUGCAGUUAUUCCAAUACUCCUAUUGUAUGAAUGUAGGACAGUGUCAGAAAGUCACAGGGCAAAAGUCACAAUUCAUUUUUUCUGAUUAUUUCUUUGAACAAAAAAACGCUUAUUUCUAUUCUUGAACAAUUGUAUAUAAACCAACUUUGUAAACAAAAAUUAUCAAAAACAAUUAAAAAAUGAUCAAAUAAUUGUUGAAAAAACAAAAUGUCAAACUGGUUUGGCACUUAAAUGGCUUCAUGGUGCCAAGAAAUCUUUCUUUUGCAUGAUUAAAAUUAAAUAAAUCUUCAUUUUUCAAAUAUAAUGACACAUUUAUUAAACUUUAAUAUGAAUAUAUGUAUUAAAAAGUAAAUAUUUAAAGAUAUUUCUCUUAUAUAUACAAACAAUUGUCAACAGAUUAUUUGUGACUUUUUGUCCUACCAAAUUUGUGACUUUAUGUCCUGUGACUUUCUGUCCGUUUACCUUUUGUAAACACCUUCCCAUUGGCGGAUCCAGCCCCUUUUUUUUGGAUGAUCAAUGAAUUUGAAUGGGGACAUGUGGUUGGAACCCCCUUUAUCCUGGGUUGAUCCGCCCCUGCUUCCAGACCCUCAUGAGAUAGAAGCAGAGACUAAGUAAAGUUGAUGUCAGCAACUUACAUUGUAUGUUCACUGUACGAUGUUUAACAAUUGACAAAUAUAUCAAAUAUUUGUUCCUAAUAGCAAGCUUGAAAGGUCCAUACAUGACAAAAUGAAAUUUAAAAUAGAUUUAGCAUAAUAAAAACCUGCAGAAUGUUGUAUGACAUACAUGUAGGAAGUAAAGUUUAAAAGUAAGACAAAUAGAUGUUGUAUAAUAGGCUCUACAAAUUCAAAUUUCUUUUCAACUCUAAAAUAUUAUUUUUUUUUAAUUUAGAAUGCCAAAAGAGGAAAAGAUGUAGUAAGUUAACAAAAGGAGUUAAAAAGAAAGGUAAUCCUCGACCAUGGACAGCUGUUGAUACCAUUAUGGAGGAGAUAUCUGUUGCAGUUUCAAUCCACACUGAAGAUGAAAAGGAUCAUCCAAUUAUGACACAUCUCUGGUCGAGUUUGUACGUUCUGAGGAAAUUUCUAUUACAUCAGAAGAAGUCAAAGGAGAACUCUUGUUAGAUGAACAUUCAGACCACACUUAUGCAGCAAAAGAACAGCCAUUUGAGAAUGAAAAAAUAUGUACGCUUGAAUUUGAUUGCCAUGCUGAUUUUUUUCUUGCACCACUGGAAGGCACAGAGCAACUGAUUACACAAUACAUUUGUAAUUGAGAUAUUUGCAGUGAAUGAGACACACAAUGAACAUGAAGAACCUUGCCUUUCUCCCAUUCUCCCUUUCAGACUUUAUGCAAUUUAUUACAAGUUAGCAUCAAUGAUACAUGUACAUAUAUCCUUAGCUGUACAGAUACCGAAAUUUGCAUACAGUUGAACUGUACCAGAUCAGUUGCAGGGAAAUUAGCACGAAGCUCUCAGUUAUCAUUGACAGUAACAUUAUAAGUGAAUGUUUGAUAAUAAAAAUAUUAUUUAUACCUGGAAUGAGUUUUGUUCUCUUAUAUCUUGGUUUAAUUAUUGAAAAA